rnacentral:rRNA from 1 species
AUUGAACGCUGGCGGCAGGCCUAACACAUGCAAGUCGAACGAGUGGCGGACGGGUGAGUAAUGUCUGGGAAACUGCCUGAUGGAGGGGGAUCACUCCUGGAAACGGUAGCUAAUACCGCAUACCAUCGGAUGUGCCCAGAUGGGAUUAGCUAGUAGGUGGGGUCAAGGCUCACCUAGGCGAAUAUCCCUAGCUGGGCUGCAGGGAUGACCAGCCACACGGGAACUGAGACACGGUCCAGAUGCCUCCGGGAGGCAGCAGUGGGGAAGAUUGCACAAUGGGCGCAAGCCUGAUGCAGCCAUGCCGCGGGUAUGAAGAAGGCCUUCGGGUUUUAAAGUACUUUCAGCGGGGAGGCGUUACCCGCAGAAGAAGCACCGGCUAACUCCGUGCCAGCAGCCGCGGUAAUUC